AGAGUUUGAUCAUGGCUCAGGAUGAACGCUGGCGGCGUGGAUAAGGCAUGCAAGUCGAACGGUCCUUCACCGACAAUGCAACGAGAGAGUAGCAAUACAAUCGAGUUGUUGAGUUGGUAUGGGAUAGUGGCGAACGAGGUAGUAACACGUAGGAACUUCCCCCUAAGUCGCGAAUAAUCCAUCGAAAGGUGGACUAAUACGCGAUAUGUCUCAGGAUGAAAGAUUUAUCGCUUAAGGAAAGGCCUGCGGAGUAUCAGCUAGUUGGUAGUGUAAUGGACUACCAAGGCUAUGACGCUUAGGGGAGCUGAGAGGCUGACCCCCACCGAUGGGACUGAGACACGGCCCAUACACCUACGGGUGGCUGCAGUCAAGAACCUUCCACAAUGGACGAAAGUCUGAUGGAGCGACGCCGCGUGAUUGAUGAAGUCCUUAGGGACGUAAAGAUCUUUUAUGAGGGAAGAAGUUUAUUGACGGUACCUCAGGAAUAAGGGGUUGCUAAACUCGUGCCAGCAGCAGCGGUAAUACGAGUGCCCCGAGCGUUAUCCGGAAUUAUUGGGCGUAAAGGAUGUGUAGGUGGCGUUGUUAGUCUUCUGUUAAAACCCCGAGCUCAACUCGGGGACUGCGAGAGAAACGGCAAUGCUAGAGGGUGCGAGAGGUGAAUGGAACUCAUGGUGUAGGGGUGAAAUCCGUUGAUAUCAUGGGGAACACCAAAAGCGAAGGCAAUUCACUGGCGCAUUUCUGACACUGAAACAUGAAAGCGUGGGUAGCGAAUGGGAUUAGAUACCCUAGUAGUCC
rnacentral:rRNA from 1 species